GCCGACCGUCCCGGACGAGGGUUUCAUCACCUUAAAUGCUUUUGAACCAAUGAAGCUGCAUUCCCUUAAAAAGACGGACAGUCCAUCAUGUGAACUAAAGAGUUUGUGGACAGACUUAUAUUGGGUUCAUAGUGGCGUCAUGCACGCAGACUCCUGCGAGUUCCCUUAAGUUCUUAGAGGACUGCUUUGCCUUUUGAUCUGAGAGUUGCAAAAUUCCAUAAAGAAUGGCCCUUGUGGAUAAGCACAAAGUCAAGAGACAGCGAUUGGACAGAAUUUGUGAAGGUAUCCGCCCCCAGAUCAUGAAUGGCCCCCUGCACCCCCGCCCCCUGGUGGCGCUGCUGGACGGCCGCGACUGCACUGUGGAGAUGCCCAUCCUGAAGGACCUGGCCACUGUGGCCUUCUGUGAUGCGCAGUCCACACAGGAAAUCCACGAGAAGGUUCUAAACGAAGCCGUGGGUGCCAUGAUGGACCACACCAUCACCCUCACCAGGGAGGACCUGGAAAAGUUCAAGGCCCUGAGAGUGAUCGUGCAGAUAGGCAGUGGCUACGACAACGUGGACAUCAAGGCUGCCGGCGAGCUCGGAACUGCUGUGUGCAACAUCCCGUCUGCAGCCGUGGAAGAGACGGCGGACUCUACCAUCUGCCACAUCCUCAAUCUGUACCGGAGGAACACGUGGCUGUACCAGGCACUGCGGGAAGGCACGCGGGUUCAGAGCGUGGAACAGAUCCGAGAGGUGGCCUUGGGAGCGGCCCGCAUCCGUGGGGAGACGCUGGGCCUCAUCGGCUUUGGUCGCACGGGGCAGGCAGUUGCAGUUCGAGCCAAGGCCUUUGGAUUCAGCGUCAUAUUUUAUGACCCCUACUUGCAGGAUGGGAUCGAGCGGUCCCUGGGCGUGCAGAGGGUCUACACACACUGCAGGAUUUGCUGUAUCAGAGCGACUGCGUCUCCUUGCACUGCAAUCUCAACGAACAUAACCACCACGUCAUCAAUGAUUUUACCAUAAAGCAGAUGAGGCAGGGAGCAUUCCUUGUGAACGCAGCCCGUGGUGGCCUGGUGGACGAGAAAGCCUUAGCACAAGCCCUCAAGGAGGGCAGGAUAGGAGGGGCAGCUCUCGACGUGCAUGAGUCGGAGCCCUUUAGCUUUGCUCAGGGUCCGUUGAAAGAUGCACCGAAUCUCAUCUGCACUCCUCACACUGCCUGGUACAGCGAGCAGGCAUCACUGGAGAUGAGGGAGGCAGCUGCCACGGAGAUCCGCGGAGCCAUCACAGGUCGCAUCCCAGAAAGCUUAAGAAACUGUGUGAACAAGGAAUUCUUGGUCACAUCAGCGCCUUGGUCAGUAAUAGACCAGCAAGCAAUUCAUCCUGAGCUCAAUGGUGCCACAUACAGAUAUCCGCCAGGCAUCGUGGGCGUGGCUCCAGGAGCACUUCCUGCAGCCAUGGAAGGGAUCAUCCCUGGAGGCAUCCCAGUGACUCACAACCUCCUGACAGUGGCACAUCCUUCCCAAGCGCCCUCUCCCAACCAGCCCACAAAACAUGGGGACAAUCGAGAGCACCCCAACGAGCAAUAGCAGAGAACGUCGGAAGGUAAUCAUUCAGAUACACUUGGGACCAAGAGACAGUGAAAAAUAGAUGAACUGAGAGAAAAAGAAUCUGAUGGUCUUUACAACUGAUUCUGGACAUAUGCAUCAUUGAUGUUGCAGUGUUAAAACUACAAGAGCUAGAAAACUGCAGAUGUCAUCUGCUUACGGAAGCGCUGAAAGACUAGGAUGUGAUUUAUUAACGACCAACGUCUGUUAUUGUGUGUUAAGUUUUUCAUCUGUGCAUCAAAUCACAAAGAAUAAAUAGAGCUUUUUUCUUUAUCAGUCCCUUGGGCACAGCAGGUCCUGAACACCCUGCUCUACAAUGUUGCAUCAAGAGUUCAAACAACAAAAUAAAAAAUAUUAAGAGGAAAUCCCCAUCCUGUGACUUGAGUCCCUUAAGUCUACAGCGGCUGGAGAUCUCUUUUUGCUAAUAGGAAAAUCACAUUACUACAAAAUGGGGAGAAAACUGUUUGCCUGUGGUAGACACCUGCACGCAUAGGAUUGAAGACAGUACAGGCUCCUGUACAGAGGAGCAUCGCUCACAUCUGAACUGCAUACUGAGCGGGCAAGUUGGUUGUAAGUUCAGUAAAACCCUCUGAUGAUG